CGCCCUUAAGAAAAAGUAAAGUAAAUAUCAUCGGGAGAAGACGAAUAGGUCAUCCUCUUAUAGACGUUGUUAAAUGCGGAAGAUAUAACAUUGAGGUCAAGUGGUUUCUUUCUGUCUCGAGUAUUAAGACAGCUUCAAGUAGAUCACAUAAUCUUAACUUGAAAUUAUUUAUAGCCACGUAUUAAUUUUCUGCGAAGUUAUAAAGCAGACAGAAUAUUCAAGUUCGCCUGUUGUUAAGCCGGGUUAUUUUUUUGUAAUUUUUUUUUUU
rnacentral:lncRNA from 1 species